UUAACUUGUUAAAUCAUAAAAAUUUAUUUCCAAAAAAGUAUACUGGAAACAUCCGGAUGUAGAGUUAUAAUAAAAAAAUGAAAGCAAAACAUGAAAGAAGAGAAACUCUUAAACUUACAGCACAGCUGCUGAUGCAAGUAAAAAUGGUGGUAUGUACAGAUACUGACAAGUGUUGGGAUGUGGCUAUUAUCACUGACCAUCUGG
rnacentral:lncRNA from 1 species